GGGAUUUUUCUUGGGAAGUUUCCGUUUCUUCAUUUGGAAUCUGGGCUCUUCUAUCUUCGACUUAUUUUUUUUUUGCUUUAUUCUUUAUUUAUUCCAUUCCAAUUUCUUCUCGAAACUUCCCAAGAAAAAUCCCGAAUUGGAUCCAAAAUUGACGGGUUAAUGUGAGCUUAUCCAUGCGGUUAGGCACUCUUCAAAUAGGAAUCCAUUUUCUAACUGGCUUUCGUGCUUUGGUGAGUCGUCCGAGAUCUUUUCGAUGACCUAUGUUGUGUUGAAGGGAUAUCUAUA